UACGGAGGGUGCAAGCGUUAUCCGGAUUCACUGGGUUUAAAGGGUGCGUAGGUGGGCUGGUAAGUCAGUGGUGAAAUCUCCAGGCUUAACUUGGAAACUGCCAUUGAUACUAUCAGUCCUGAAUACCGUGGAGGUCAGCGGAAUAUGUCAUGUAGCGGUGAAAUGCUUAGAUAUGACAUAGAACACCAAUUGCGAAGGCAGCUGGCUACACGAAUAUUGACACUGAUGCACGAAAGCGUGGGGAUCAAACAGG
rnacentral:rRNA from 1 species